UUCCGCUCUCCCGGCGCGGCCCAGGAGAAAACACCGCGUCCCGCCCCGCUGCUGCCGGGAGGAACAGUGAUGCGGUGGGCUCUGUUUGCACGACUUCGGUGAAAAACUGUCUGUGAUGAAAGUGCAGCCGUGGAGCGGAGCGGCGCGCAGAGCGCUCCGGGGGAAGCUCAGACUGCAGUCCGUGCGCUCUGUGCUGCUGCUGCAAAACCGCCGUGAGCGGCGGCACGAGGGGGGGCACUGACAGCACACCACGGUGACACCGCCCUGUGGGGCGGGGGGGGAUGGGGAUCCAGGGAUAUGGGGUUGGGUUUGGGGUCUGGGAGGUGAUGGGGAUCCAGGGGUAUGGGGUUGGGUUUGGGGUCUGGGAGGUGAUGGGGAUCCAGGGGUAUGGGGUUGGGUUUGGGGCCUGGGAGGUGAUGGGGAUCCAGGGAUAUGGGGUUGGGUUUGGGGUCUGGGAGGUGAUGGGGAUCCAGGGGUAUGGGGUUAGGUUUGGGGUCUGGGAGGUGAUGGGGAUCCAGGGAUAUGGGGUUAGGUUUGGGGUCUGGGAGGUGAUGGGGAUCCAGGGAUAUGGGGUUAGGUUUGGGGUCUGGGAGGUGAUGGGGAUCCAGGGAUAUGGGGUUAGGUUUGGGGUCUGGGAGGUGAUGGGGAUCCAGGGAUAUGGGGUUGGGUUUGGCACUGGGAGGUGAUGGGGAUCCAGGGGUAUGGGGUUGGGUUUGGGGUCUGGGAGGUGAUGCUGAGCUGCGGGUGCUGGGGGAGCAGUCAGCCUCGCAUGGCCGCGUGGUGGGAUCUGUGCCGGAGCCCUAUUUGUAGUACAGCACACAAUGGGUGAUGGGCCGUCGGUGAUGAGCGACGGGAGAUGAGGGGGGGAUGAUGGGUUGUGGGAUGUCAGUGGGGUCAGUGGUUGGUGGUGGGUGGUGGGUGAUGGGCAGUGGGCAGCGGUGGGUGAUGGGGAAUGGGCAAUAGGUGCCGGGCAAUGGGAGAUGGGUGUUGGGCAAUGGGCGAUGGGCGAUGGGUGAUGGCACCCAGCGGGGGUCGGGGGUCCCAGGGCUCCUCACAUCCAUCCCCACUGCUUCAAAGGGACAGGACUGUGCCUGUGGGUGCGCGCUGCUGCCCCACACGGGGCUCAUUAACGGCUCGAUGGGGGAG
ensembl:lncRNA